CCUACGGGAGGCAGCAGUGAGGAAUAUUGGUCAAUGGACGAGAGUCUGAACCAGCCAAGUAGCGUGAAGGAUGACUGCCCUAUGGGUUGUAAACUUCUUUUAUAUGGGAAUAAAAUGUUCCACGUGUGGGAUUUUGUAUGUACCAUAUGAAUAAGGAUCGGCUAACUCCGUGCCAGCAGCCGCGGUAAUACGAAGGAUCCGAGCGUUAUCCGGAUUUAUUGGGUUUAAAGGGAGCGUAGGUGGAUUGUUAAGUCAGUUGUGAAAGUUUGCGGCUCAACCGUAAAAUUGCAGUUGAAACUGGCAGUCUUGAGUACAGUAGAGGUGGGCGGAAUUCGUGGUGUAGCGGUGAAAUGCUUAGAUAUCACGAAGAACUCCGAUUGCGAAGGCAGUUCACUGGACUGCAACUGACACUGAGGCUCGAAAGUGUGGGUAUCAAACAGGAUUAGAUACCCCUGUAGUC
rnacentral:rRNA from 1 species